ensembl:lncRNA
CACGGUUCACAUAGCAACCCUAGAUUCUAGAAUGUGUAGAUUUCCAGGCCUAAGAAACAGGCCUAACUUUUUUACACAGAGAAACAUACACACCUUCGCUGACCCAGUUGAUCUUUUUUCCAAAGUGUUGUUGAAAAUGUUGGACCUACUGCUUAUAAACAGUGAAGCUACUUCACGCCAGAAGGCUAGCUGAUUCUGGACAUUCUGCUCAAGCCCGGAACUACUGCAGGACCAUUGCUACGGCAGUAGCCACCUUCCCCAGCAACAUCACAGUCAUCCUCAUGAGCCGUCUUAUUAGGCUCUCUGAGGAACUGUACAGAGGGAAGGCCAAAGAACCCAACUGGCUGGUAAAUCUUCGCUACCUGUGCCUACACAAGGUGGAACAGAUUCCUGGGAAGGAUUAUAUUAUCCCAGAGCAGCAGGAGGUGUGGGAUGUGGACUCUCAGUCACAGGGUCUCCUGACAGCUGAAAAGUUCACUCUCCAUCUUACUGCCAUGGAGCUGCAGGCUGAGAUGUGGGAUGAAGACUCAGAUUCAGAUGGUUCUCUGAUGCCUGAAACGUCCACCACCUAUGUGAAUACUUCAGAACUCCAGCCUGAGGUCUGGGAUGUGGACAGCGAGGUCCAAGAGAUGCCCACUUUCCAUCCUUCGUGUCUGAAAUUCCUCACUGAACCAGAGGCACAGAGAUUUCUUGCCUUGUACACCGUGGGUGACAUGCUGGGGAGUGGAGGCUUUGGCACAGUUUAUGAAGGAACUUGUAAGAAAGAUGGACAACAGUCACUUCACGGAUAGCAGCGACAUCAGGCCAUCAGCAACUACAGGACAACAUCACCCGCCUGUGACAGUGAUGCCACACCUUGAAACCACCAAACUGGCUCGGACGACCUAGAAGUCCCUUAUCGAGACAGAAGGACGAAUACAGUAUAGAAGAUGAGAGCGCUCUGAAACACUCG